GGGUUAAGUCCCGCAACGAGCGCAACCCUCAUUGUUAGUUACUACCAUUCAGUUGAGGACUCUAAUGAGACUGCCAACGAUAAGUUGGAGGAAGGUGGGGAUGACGUCAAAUCAUCAUGCCCUUUAUGACCUGGGCUACAAACGUACUACAAUGGCCGGUACAAAGAGAUGCGAAGUGGCGACAUGGAGCGAACCUCAGAAAGCCGGUCUCAGUUCAGAUUGAAGUCUGCAACUCGACUUCAUGAAGGCGGAAUCGCUAGUAAUCGCGGGUCAGUAGACCCGCGGUCGAAUACGUUCCCGGGCCUU
rnacentral:rRNA from 1 species